GACGUUAGCUGCAGAAGAAGCACCGGACUAACUCCGUCGCCAGCAGCCGCGGUAAUACGGGAGGGUGCGAGCGUUAAUCGGAAUUACUGGGCGUAAAGCGCAUGCAGGUGGUUUGUUAAGUCAGAUGUGAAAGGACCCGGGGCGUCAACCUACGGAAUUGCAUUUAGAAACUGGCAGACUAGAGUACUGUAGAGGGGGGUAGGAAUUUCAGGUGUAGCGGUGAAAUGCGUAGAGAUCUGAAGGAAUACCGGUGGCGAAGGCGGCCCCCUGGACAGAUACUGACACUCAGAUGCGAAAGCGUGGGGAGCAAACAGGAUUAGAUACCCUGGUAG
rnacentral:rRNA from 1 species